rnacentral:lncRNA from 1 species
CAAAUUUAAAAUCCCUAGCAGAAAAGCCAACUCCUUCCUCUCUUAGUUUUAGCACAAUAGUUUUGUCUGUUUCCGUUUUUGUAAUGGUAUAACCAGGGAGCUGUACAAAUGCUGAGAGGCCCUGUGGGCAUUUGGCAUGGCACAUACAUUUUGUUCUUUGCCAGUGGGGUUGCUUUUGCAUUCUACACUUUUACUCCCACACUCUCAUGCCAUGGAAGCUACAAGACCAGACUAGGAAACUGGCUGUGCUUGAGAGGGACAGAGUGAAGCACAUGCACAUCUUUGAAGAACGAAGUUGGAAGAGAUUUUGACAUGGACACACUUCACGGAGGCCUUUAUAAGUACAGGUAAUGGAGGCUUGAAGAGAGGAGAAACUUUGCAGACUGUAGCUGGAGGGGGGAUG